rnacentral:rRNA from 1 species
AGUUAGCCGGGGCUUAUUCCCCAGGUACCGUCAUUAUUCUUCCUGAGAAAGGGGUUUACAACCGAAGGCCGUCAUCCCCCACGCGGUGUCGCUGUGUCAGGCUUUCGCCCAUUGCACAAUAUUCCUU